rnacentral:rRNA from 1 species
UGGACUUAGUAACGGCGAGUGAAGCGGCAAAAGCUCAAAUUUGAAAUCUGGUACCUUCGGUGCCCGAGUUGUAAUUUGGAGAGGGCAACUUUGGGGCCGUUCCUUGUCUAUGUUCCUUGGAACAGGACGUCAUAGAGGGUGAGAAUCCCGUGUGGCGAGGAGUGCGGUUCUUUGUAAAGUGCCUUCGAAGAGUCGAGUUGUUUGGGAAUGCAGCUCUAAGUGGGUGGUAAAUUCCAUCUAAAGCUAAAUAUUGGCGAGAGACCGAUAGCGAACAAGUACAGUGAUGGAAAGAUGAAAAGAACUUUGAAAAGAGAGUGAAAAAGUACGUGAAAUUGUUGAAAGGGAAGGGCAUUUGAUCAGACAUGGUGUUUUGUGCCCUCUGCUCCUUGUGGGUAGGGGAAUCUCGCAUUUCACUGGGCCAGCAUCAGUUUUGGUGGCAGGAUAAAUCCAUAGGAAUGUAGCUUGCCUCGGUAAGUAUUAUAGCCUGUGGGAAUACUGCCAGCUGGGACUGAGGACUGCGACGUAAGUCAAGGAUGCUGGCAUAAUGGUUAUAUGCCGCCCGUCUUGAACCCCCGGACACAA